rnacentral:misc_RNA from 1 species
AAAGUCGUAACAAGGUCUCCGUUGGUGAACCAGCGGAGGGAUCAUUACAGAGUUGCAAAACUCCCAACCAUUGUGAACCUACCUCACCGUUGCUUCGGCGGGUGGCCCUCUCCGGGGCCGCGCCGGCCCCCCAACCGGGACCGGCAACCCGUCAGAGGCCCGAAACUCUUAGUAACCAUUGGCCUCUCUGAGUAACUUAUACAAUAAGUCAAAACUUUCAACAACGGAUCUCUUGGUUCUG